AGCUUUGCGCAGUGGCAGUAUCAUAGCCAAUGAGGUUUUCUGAGGCGUGAUUAUUGCUAAUUGUAGGGCAGCAGAUCUUCUCGCGGUGUGAACUUGAUACCCACUGGUAAACCUGUCUCCAUCCCUACCGUGUUCGCUAGUUCAUCCCAGUUAUCACAAAUAACAGGUUUCUG
rnacentral:snRNA from 1 species